GGGGUUCCAGAGACUAAUGUACUCGUUUGCAGAGGAACGGACUGCUUAGAUGUGAGAGUUAUCAUAUCACCUAAGCGUUCUGCUCCUCUACAAAAGAGUAUAUAUCGCCAGUCGAUCAUCA
rnacentral:precursor_RNA from 15 species